rnacentral:pre_miRNA from 1 species
AGUGGGAUAGCUGGGUCAAAUGGUGGUUUCAUUCCCAGAUUUUUGAGGAAUCCCCAUACUGCUUUCCAUAGUGGUUGCACCAAUUUGUAGUCCCACCAGCAAU